rnacentral:lncRNA from 1 species
GGUUGACCUCAUGAAUUUGUGUGGAAUUCUAAAAAAAAAAAAUUAAAAAAAUCAUGGGUUCAACCCACGAAAUCAUUUUUUAGCCAUGUGGGCCGAAUAUUCAUGGGCUCAACCAUGAAUUGUCCACGUGGGCCUCAAAUUCGUGGGUUGAACCCACGAUUUUUGCUGACACGGCCCACCCACGGUAUUUUCGAAAAUAGUUUCCAAAUGAGGGUAGUUUGAGAAUUUUUUAUUUAAAAAACAUUAUUUAAGAAAAAACCCAGUAGCGCGC